UACGUAGGUGGCAAGCGUUGUCCGGAUUUAUUGGGUUUAAAGCGUGCGCAGGCGGUUUUGUAAGUCUGUCGUGAAAGCCCCGGGCUUAACCUGGGAACUGCAUUUGUGACUGCAUAGCUAGAGUACGGUAGAGGGGGAUGGAAUUCCGCGUGUAGCAGUGAAAUGCGUAGAUAUGCGGAGGAACACCGAUGGCGAAGGCAGCCCCCUGGGUCAAGAUUGACGCUCAUGCACGAAAGCGUGGGGAGCAAACAGG
rnacentral:rRNA from 1 species